rnacentral:rRNA from 1 species
GGUGGGAGUGCUCGAAAGAGAACCGGCGCACGGGUGCUGCGUGGGUGUCCUCAUCGCGUGGCGAGAGAUGGGGGGAAAAGCCCCACCACGAGCGCCCCUUUUGUUCUUUUUCGCUACGCAAGAGCACUCAACUCAAAACUGCCUGUGACUGAUAAAAUGAAGGAAGGGAUGACUUCCAGUCCUUCUUCCCCUUACUUAUAGGGCUUCACACGUCAUACAAUGGUCGGAACAUACGGUUGCAAACCCCCUCGGGGGAGCUAAUCCCCCACAACCGAUCGGACUCAGGAUUGAACUC